rfam:Arabis alpina cultivar Pajares Aa.chr1_contig_187, whole genome shotgun sequence.
GUUUGGCAGUGAUGAUUAAUCCAGUUCUGCUUCAGAUAAGUCUUGAUUGAAAAAACUGUAUUCAUAUCUGAGCCUAUA